UUCCCAAACUUGCAUCUCUCUAACUUCUUUCUAGUUUCCCUCUCCCCAAACAUCAACCUCAAUUAGAGCCUCAAGUCUAGGGAGAAUUCACCAAGGAUUUCAUCUCAAAUUCAUGGAAAAAUCAUCACUCAGGUUUCGGCCAUUGAAUAGCUGCUAGGCCACUUUGCAAGGAUACUUGGACUUCUUCCACCAAGUAGUUGGUGAGUCCUCCAAGUUCGAGGAUGGCGCCUUUUGAUCUACCCCGGUAGUAUUGCUAUAGUCUAAAGACAUUCAUUUCCCUCCUAUUGUUGAAGAUAUUGUUGUAAUACCUAUAUGGCAAUUAUGGAUCUGUAUAAGGGCUAAGCCCAAAUGUUCUACUUUGUUUUAGAUGGUUUAAUGUGAGGCAGUAUAAUUAGACUAAAUCUUUAUAUGUUGGCUACAUUAUCUAAAGGAGAAGCCUAUGUAAGUGUCCUAUGCGAAGAGUCUAUGUAAACUCCAUAUGUAUGCAUAAAGUAAGCGAGAGGUAUAUGUAUACCUCAAUAUGUAUAAAGUUUUAAAUUUUUCUA